UUCACAUGAAGACAGUUGGGAACUUCCUGGAGGAACAUUACUGCUCUGCCUGCAUCAAGUAUCUGUCAAUGGGCUGCCUAUUACAAGGACAUUUAAUCGUAUCUACAUUUCCUUCUGGAAGCUAGCUUUAGGGCAGCCAGGAGUGCCUGAGGAAUGUCACAGAGAUCCCAUGCGGGGGGAGGGCCAGCUUCUGCUUUGUCCUCCGUUUGCCUUCUGGUCCCUCAUCACUUUGCAUCAGAAAAGCUGAAAUUGCUCCUUCUGCCCGGGCCGCAGCCCCAGGCGAGAUAGAACAACGUAUCCACACUGCACGCGGAAACACCCGUUGUUACAGUGUAGGCGAUUUGCUGAAGGAGCCACCGCUCACAGAUACCGGACUGGCACUCAGACCCAGGCCACGCAGACCUAACUGCUAAC